AUGCAUCAUCAUAAUAAACAGAGUAUUGCCUUCUCUGCGGCAGUCGCGUGGGCAGUGGCUGCGGGAAGUCCAGACGGGGCGUCAUGUAAUUAUAAGUUCAGUGGCUUCACGCAGAAGUUGGCCGGAGCAUGGGCUUCCGAUGCCUAUAGCCCUCAGGGAUUAAGGCCUGUUGUUUCCACAGAAGCACCGUCUAUCAUAUUUGCCACACCAAACUAAACUGAGUUCCAGUUCUAUUGCAUAUGAUUAUGCUGGGAAAAACACAGUUCCAGAGCUGCAGAAGUUUUUCCAGAAAUCUGACGGUGUGCCUGUCCACCUGAAACGCGGCCUGCCUGACCAAAUGCUAUACCGGACCACCAUGGCGCUGACAGUGGGAGGGACCGUCUACUGCCUGAUCGCCCUCCACAUGGCCUCACAGCCCAGAAACAAAUGAGUCAGGCUGCAGAGGCCUGGUUUGCUUGUUGGCACACAUCUUUUGAAUUUUCAUUUUUCAUUAUUUCUGUAAUUUUUUUGUUUUUUACUAGAAUGUCCCACUUAACAUUCUUAAAGAAGAGCAGAAAGAUAUUAAGACAAUAUUUUGGUUUGUUAUGAAAAUGCACGUGGCCUGCCAGAGCUCAUUCAGCAGUUAAAACUGUUUAAAGAAACGAUGUUGCUCCCUGCAUUUGGGCUCCUAAUUUCCCUGGAGCUUCUGAUGAAGGUUGCACACAGGCUCAUUAGCGGCCAUCUGUGCUGAGGUCCCUGGGUACUUAUGGUGGCGAAUUGAACAUGGGGUGGGGCAGCCUUUCUGGAUUAGGAUGUGACUGAGGAAGGAAGAUAGAAGCUCAGGCCAGGCACAUGAAAAUGUUAGCCACCUUGGGGACUUUUCUAUCUUGCAGUUCAGUGUUAAUAGGAAUUAUUUGCAGCCUGCUUCCAUUCGUCGGGCAGUUUGUUUCAAAGGCUUAUUUGCGUCAUCUCAGAUCUUCAGUGAAAUUUUAUGUGUAAUUGUUAUGUAUUUAUUCCACCAUGGGAACAGAGAACACCUGUUUAGUGUUGCACUUUAGACCAAUGUCUGUUUUAUUAAUACAGCUGUGACACAGAUUCUCCUUUACCUUUUAAAAAUGUUAUGGCUUUGAAUUAUGAUUUAAUUGUGGAAUAAAUACAUGAAU